AAUCAACGCUGGCGGCGUGCCUAACACAUGCAAGUCGAACGCGAAAGUCCCGCAAGGGAUUAGUAGAGUGGCAAACGGGUGAGUAACACGUGGGUGACCUGCCUUCGAGUGGGGGAUAACGUCCCGAAAGGGACGCUAAUACCGCAUGACAUCCUGCCUUUUAACAGGCGGAGAUCAAAGCUGGGGAUCGCAAGACCUAGCGCUUGAAGAGGGGCCCGCGCCUGAUUAGCUAGNGGUGAGGUAACGGCUCACCAAGGCGACGAUCAGUAUCCGGCCUGAGAGGGCGGACGGACACACUGGGACUGAGACACGGCCCAGACUCCGUACGGGAGGCAGCAGUGGGGAAUUGUUCGCAAUGGGCGCAAGCCUGACGACGCAACGCCGCGUGGAGGAUGAAGACC
rnacentral:rRNA from 1 species